rnacentral:misc_RNA from 1 species
AAGUCGUAACAAGGUUUCCGUAGGUGAACCUGCGGAAGGAUCAUUAACACGUAUCCAACGUUAAACCCCCCGUGAACUUUUAUUGCGAACCACGCCUUUGUUAAAAAGUAGCAAUACCUUUGCAUGAAAACGGGCCUGCGCUUAAUUGUGCGGCCACCAAACUCGAACAACUGUUAACAAUGGAUAUCUUGGUUCUC